UAUCAAUAAGCGGAGGAAAAGAAANCAACAGGGAUUGCCUCAGUAACGGCGAGUGAAGNGNCAAUAGCUCAAAUUUGAAAUCUGGCUUCUUCGGAGCCCGAGUUGUAAUUUGUAGAGGAUGCUUCGGGUUUGGCCCCGGCCUAAGUUCCUUGGAACAGGACGUCACAGAGGGUGAGANUCCCGUAUGUGGCUGGAGGUCUAUGCCCAUGUGAAGCUCCUUCGACGAGUCGAGUUGUUUGGGAAUGCAGCUCAAAAUGGGUGGUAAAUUUCAUCUAAAGCUAAAUACCGGCGGGAGACCGAUAGCGCACAAGUAGAGUGAUCGAAAGAUGAAAAGCACUUUGGAAAGAGAGUUAAAAAGUACGUGAAAUUGUUGAAAGGGAAGCGCUUGCGACCAGACUUGCCCGCAGUUGAUCAACUGGUGUUCUCACCGGUGCACUUUGCUGUGGUCAGGCCAGCAUCGGUUUGGGCGGCUGGAGAAAGGCCCUGGGAAUGUGACUCCCUUCGGGGAGUGUUAUAGCCCAGGGCGUCAUGCAGCCAGCCUGGACUGAGGACCGCGCUUCGGCUAGGAUGCUGGCGUAA
rnacentral:rRNA from 1 species